rnacentral:rRNA from 1 species
AGUGAACGCUGGCGGUAGGCCUAACACAUGCAAGUCGAACGGCAGCACAGUAAGAGCUUGCUCUUACGGGUGGCGGGUGGCGGACGGGUGAGGAAUACAUCGGAAUCUACUUUUUCGUGGGGGAUAACGUAGGGAAACUUACGCUAAUACCGCAUACGACCUACGGGUGAAAGCAGGGGAUCUUCGGACCUUGCGCGAUUGAAUGAGCCGAUGUCGGAUUAGCUAGUUGGCGGGGUAAAGGCCCACCAAGGCGACGAUCCGUAGCUGGUCUGAGAGGAUGAUCAGCCACACUGGAACUGAGACACGGUCCAGACUCCUACGGGAGGCAGCAGUGGGGAAUAUUGGACAAUGGGCGCAAGCCUGAUCCAGCCAUACCGCGUGGGUGAAGAAGGCCUUCGGGUUGUAAAGCCCUUUUGUUGGGAAAGAAAAGCAGCAGGUUAAUACCCCGCUGUUCUGACGGUACCCAGAGAAUAAGCACCGGCUAACUUCGUG